rnacentral:rRNA from 1 species
UACGAAGGGGGCUAGCGUUGCUCGGAAUCACUGGGCGUAAAGCGCACGUAGGCAGCUUUUUAAGUCAGAGGUGAAAUCCUGGAGCUCAACUCCAGAACUGCCUUUGAUACUGGAGAGCUUGAGUCCGGGAGAGGUGAGUGGAACUGCGAGUGUAGAGGUGAAAUUCGUAGAUAUUCGCAAGAACACCAGUGGCGAAGGCGGCUCACUGGCCCGGUACUGACGCUGAGGUGCGAAAGCGUGGGGAGCAAACAGG